rnacentral:rRNA from 1 species
UACAGAGGGGGCAAGCGUUAUUCGGAAUUAUUGGGCGUAAAGGGCGCGUAGGCGGCUUGGCAAGUGGAAGGUGAAAUCCCUCGGCUUAACCGAGGAACUGCCUCCCAAACUGCUUGGCUUGAGACCAGGAGAGGUGAGUGGAAUUCCCAGUGUAGCGGUGAAAUGCGUAGAUAUUGGGAGGAACACCAGUGGCGAAGGCGGCUCACUGGACUGGUACCGACGCUGAUGCGCGAAAGCGUGGGGAGCAAACGGG